CAUUCAAAGGUCACCUGGGAAAGUUUUCUGAAAAUCUUGUGAAUGUGAUGACUCAAGAAUGAAGUCACCUAGGACUUUCAGAUUGAUACCACAAGGCACAAUUACUGAAAAUCCUGGAUGAGUUCAAAUAAUUUUCCACACACCCCGCCUGCUCCUCUGUCAUUCAAAAGUCAUCUGUAAAGUCACCUUCCUGCCCACUCUCCACCAAGACUGCCUUCCAGAACUUUCACGUGCCUUUCCUGCCUGCAAAUCACAAAGGAAACAGAAGUGACAACUCAAGUCAGGUCCUCAACCAGCAGAGGAGCCCAAGACCAUCACACUACCACUGCCAUGUCUGACUGAUGCAUUAUGGACCGCUAACGUGCGAAUGAUGCAGUAAAUGAAGAUCAGUGUGGCUGUUCUCCUCUAUCAGCCCAUCACACCAGCUAAAGCAUUACUUGCUGAGCGAACAAACUGUGCUGACCAUUUUUUUGCA